rnacentral:rRNA from 1 species
AAAUGAAUUGACGGGGACCCGCACAAGUGGUGGAGUAUGUUGUUUAAUUCGAUGCUACGCGAGAAACCUUACCGACUCUUGACAUGUUCGACGCGAUUUCCAGAGAUGGAUUUCUUCAAUUCGGUUGGUCGAAACACAGAUGCUGCAUGGCUGUCGUCAGCUCGUGUCGUGAGAUGUUAGGUUAAGUCCUGCAACGAGCGCAACCCACGCCCUAUGUUGCCAGCGGGUCAUGCCGGGAACUCUUAGGGGACUGCCCGCGUCAAGCGGGAGGAAGGCGUGGAUGACGUCAAGUCAUCAUGGUUCUUACGAGUCGGGCUACAAACGUACUACAAUGGCGUUAACAAUGGGUCGCAAUGCUGCAAGGCAAAGCCAAUCCUUAAAAAGCGCCUCAGUUCAGAUUGUCCUCUGCAACUCGAGGGCAUGAAGUUGGAAUCACUAGUAAUCGUUGAUCAGAAUGCAACGGUGAAUACGUUCCCGGGUCUUGUACACACCGCCCGU